rnacentral:rRNA from 1 species
GACGAACGCUGGCGGCGUGCUUAACACAUGCAAGUCGAACGCUGAAGACCUGGCUUUUGUUGGGUUGGAUGAGUGGCGAACGGGUGAGUAACACGUGAGUAACCUGCCCUCUUCUUUGGGAUAACGCCCGGAAACGGGUGCUAAUACUGGAUAUUCACUGAUCUUCGCAUGGGGGUUGGUGGAAAGGUUUGUUCUGGUGGGGGAUGGGCUCGCGGCCUAUCAGCUUGUUGGUGGGGUGAUGGCCUACCAAGGCUUUGACGGGUAGCCGGCCUGAGAGGGUGACCGGUAACAUUGGGACUGAGAUACGGCCCAGACUCCUACGGGAGGCAGCAGUGGGGAAUAUUGCACAAUGGGCGAAAGCCUGAUGCAGCGGCGCCGCGUGAGGGAUGGAGGCCUUCGGGUUGUAAACCUCUUUCGCUCAUGGUCAAGCCGCAACUGUGGGUUGUGGUGAGGGUAGUGGGUAAAGAAGCGCCGGCUAACUACGUG